rnacentral:rRNA from 1 species
CUGGUUCUCCCCGAAAUAGCUUUAGGGCUAGCGUCGAGGUAAGUUGCGUGAAGGUAGAGCACUGAAUAUGUGAUGGCCCCAUCUCGGGGUACUGAGCAUAAUCAAACUGCGAAUGUCACGCCAACAUGCUCGGCAGUCAGACAGCGGGUGAUAAGGUCCGUUGUCAAGAGGGAAACAGCCCAGACCAUCAGCUAAGGUCCCAAAAUGUAUGCUAAGUGGAAAAGGAUGUGGAGAUGUACAGACAACUAGGAGGUUGGCUCAGAAGCAGCCAUCCUUUAAAGAGUGCGUAACAGCUCACUAGUCGAAUGACUCUGCGCCGAUAAUUUACCGGGGCUAAGCAUACUACCGAAGCUAUGGAUCCCAAGGGAUGGUAGGGGAGCGUUCCAUGAACGGAGAAGUACGACCGAAAGGACGUGUGGAGAUCAUGGAAGAGAGAAUGCCGGUGUGAGUAGCGGAACGUGGGUGAGAAUCCCACGCACCGAAAACCCAAGGUUUCCAGAGGAAGGUUCGUCCGCUCUGGGUAAGUCGGGACCUAAGGCGAGGCCGAAAGGCGUAGUCGAUGGACAACAGGUAGAGAUUCCUGUACCCGUAUAUAUGUGAAGGAAUGACGGAGAGAGGAAGCUGCAGCCAGCGGCUGGAAGAGCUGGUGCAAGCGAGAUAUCGGGAUGGCAGGCAAAUCCACCAUCCGAAACGAGAAGGCGUGAAGCGUACGGAAAGCUACGGCGAGUACGGAAGGCAGUGGAGGAACUUCCAAGAAAAGUUUCUAACGUUAAGUAUAUAUGGCCCGUACCGAAAAUGGACACACAUGGGUGAGGAGAGAAUCCUAAGGUGAGCGAGAGAACUAUAGCUAAGGAACUCUGCAAAAUGACUCCGUAACUUAGGGAGAAGGAGUGCUCAUAGAGAUAUGAGCCGCAGUGAAACGGCCCAAGCGACUGUUUACCAAAAACACAGCUCUCUGCUAAGCCGCAAGGCGAAGUAUAGGGGGUGACGCCUGCCCGGUGCUGGAAGGUUAAGGGGAGGGGUUAACGCAAGUGAAGCCCUGAACUGAAGCCCCAGUAAACGGCGGCCGUAACUAUAACGGUCCUAAGGUAGCGAAAUUCCUUGUCAGGUAAGUUCUGACCCGCACGAAAGGCGUAACGAUUUGGGCGCUGUCUCAGCUGUAGACUCGGUGAAGUCUUAGUACCUGUGAAGAUGCAGGUUACCCGCGACUAGACGGAAAGACCCCAUGGAGCUUCACUGCAGGUUGAUAUUGGGAUUUGAUGCAGCAUGUACAGGAUAGGUAGGAGGCAAAGAGAUGGAUACGCCAGUAUUCAAGGAGCCGCUGUUGGGAUACUACCCCUGUUGUAUUGGAUUUCUAACCGGACGACGUAGAGCCGUUGACGGGACAGUGUCAGUCGGGCAGUUUGACUGGGGCGGUCGCCUCCCAAAGAGUAACGGAGGCGCCCAAAGAUACCCUCAGCUUGGAUGGAAACCAAGCGCAGAGUGCAAAGGCAAAAGGGUGUUUGACUGCGAGACCCACAAGUCGAGCAGGGACGAAAGUCGGGCUUAGUGAUCCGGCGGUGCUGAAUGGAAAGGCCGUCGCUCAACGGAUAAAAGCUACCCUGGGGAUAACAGGCU